rnacentral:misc_RNA from 1 species
CAAAUGCUUAAGAGGGACUGUCCACCGAAUGUUAUCACGUAUCAUUGUUUUUUCAGGUCUCUUGAAAAGCCGAAAGAGAUUCUUAUGUUAUUUGAUAGGAUGAUUAAAUUUGGGGUUCAUCCAAAAAUGGAUACUUAUGUGAUGCUCAUGAGGAAAUUUGGAAGAUGGGGGUUUCUGAGACCAGUGUUUUUAGUGUGGAACAAGAUGGAG